GACGGGGGAUGCAAGUGUUAUCCGGAAUCACUGGGCGUAAAGCGUCUGUAGGUGGUCAAAUAAGUCAACUGUUAAAUCUUGAGGCUCAACCUCAAAAUCGCAGUCGAAACUAUUCGACUAGAGUAUAGUAGGGGUAAAGGGAAUUUCCAGUGGAGCGGUGAAAUGCGUAGAGAUUGGAAAGAACACCGAUGGCGAAGGCACUUUACUGGGCUAUUACUAACACUGAGAGACGAAAGCUAGGGCAGCAAAUGGG
rnacentral:rRNA from 1 species